rfam:Enterobius vermicularis genome assembly, scaffold: EVEC_scaffold0002821
CCAACGGCCCUCAUUAGGGCCACAAGCAUUUAAAUCAAACCAUCC